AUUGAACGCUGGCGGCAUGCCUUACACAUGCAAGUCGAACGGCAGCACGGGAGCAAUCCUGGUGGCGAGUGGCGAACGGGUGAGUAAUAUAUCGGAACGUGCCCAGUCGUGGGGGAUAACGUAGCGAAAGCUACGCUAAUACCGCAUACGAUCUAUGGAUGAAAGCGGGGGAUCGCAAGACCUCGCGCGAUUGGAGCGGCCGAUAUCAGAUUAGGUAGUUGGUGAGGUAAAGGCCCACCAAGCCGACGAUCUGUAGCUGGUCUGAGAGGACGACCAGCCACACUGGGACUGAGACACGGCCCAGACUCCUACGGGAGGCAGCAGUGGGGAAUUUUGGACAAUGGGCGCAAGCCUGAUCCAGCCAUGCCGCGUGCAGGAUGAAGGCCUUCGGGUUGUAAACUGCUUUUGUACGGAACGAAAAGGUUUGGCCUAAUAAGCUGAGCUCAUGACGGUACCGUAAGAAUAAGCACCGGCUAACUACGUG
rnacentral:rRNA from 1 species